UAGCUUUACAAAAUAUUAUAAAACCAUCAAAGAGAAAUCACAACCAAAAUAACAUGAGAACUAGUCUCUCAUUCUAUCAAAAUAUUAGACUACAAUAACAUGUUUUGAGAAUAAAUCUCUCUACCAAGAAAUUCAUGCAAACUAAGGUACAAACAAUUAGAUUCACUUAGCUAGCUUAUCUAAGGGAGGAUCAUAAAUGGAAGCAAUGGGAUUAAGCAAUAUAAGUAAAUAGUAGCAAGUAAGAAGGAAGUUGACAAAAGUCUGGGAGACAAGCUCCUCAGUUGUGACCGUUAUCUUUCAGCUAUAAAUGAAACUUCUGCCAUAAAUUUCUAUAGAAUUAGGCAUUAGAAAGAUUGUAAGAUUCAUUUGAAAUAUAAAUAGCAUCAAGGUAAAAAUGAACAAUAUUCUAGAAAUCUUUUUAUUGACAUCCAAUGUGAGUUGAUGGCAAUGGACAAUGAACUGCAACAGCAUAAUCAGAGAGGAUAUAUUUCCACCGCGUAACAGACUAAAAAUCACACUAAUUAUAUUGAAGGUAUGACAUGUCUGCACAUGUAUGCGUUGUGUCCUUGAUCCAGAAAAUAAGCAUAUUUCUGUGAAUUGUCCUUCGCCUUAUCAUACAAAUUGAGAACUGAGGCCUAGAGAUGCAAGUUUAACCAAAAUUUAGCAACAACCUCAUUGACAAUAUUUGACGAUAAAUGCCUUAGCAAUUCAUCAACAUUUGGUACAAAACUUUUUAUAUAAACCUAUACACAAUUACAUUAGGGGUUAUAAUUUUCCACACUACUAUUUGAGAGGGCCAAGAGAUAGUGGCAUUAAAUAAUAUGGUAGAACAGAAAGUGUUAAAGCAACCCCUUAAGUUGACUUGACGAUCUCAAGUUUCCUAUCAUUGUUUUUUCCCAUGGUGCUUAUUCAACAGUCAACACCAAUUUUCAACUCGAGAAUAUACAGAGCAAAUUGAUUUCAUCCUCUGAACAGCUAGACCUUUUCCUCUUUGGUUUUCAUUACAAGGAACUGUAGCCGUGGAUACUGCUUGUUUGAAUGAACGGUUUAACCUUGAUUACACAAAUAUAUAUUUUUGCCUUCUGUGCUUGGUUGCUUGUGCUAGGAGUAAUAUAUUCUCUCUUUUCUUUCCUUGCUAGGAAAAUCAUACAUACAGUCACAUUUUUUUUAAGAUAACUUCUAAUGGGCUAUAUUUUCUCUAGCAUUCACUUCAGUACAGCAAGUAUUCAAAUUGAAACACUAGCAUUUUGGACAAGUUGACUUCACAGAAAAUAAGCAAGCCUCCAUAGGAAAGUAAAAAAUAUGAAAUUUCUCGAGGUAGUGUUUUGCAGGCUCUUAUGAAAUGCAAAUCCCAAGCAGAAAUUUAUUCGGCACUGUGACAAUUUUACUAUUGAACAGAUCAUCUACAUAGAAAGAGGCGGGAGAAAUUUUGAAAGGAAAAGAGGGGAUACAAAGUUUGUAGUCUGGGUCAGGACAGCACACUACAAGCUCUAACUUUCAUGAACCCGAAUUUUGUAGCCUUUUCUUGUAAUUCUUUCUUUUUUGAGGUUCCUUUCAGAACAAUCUGUAUUUCGCUAGAGUCAUCUCUUUGUACUCUCACUCAUUUCAGUGCGAGCAGAUUCUCACCACAUUUAUGAAAGCUGGUUCCACCCCCUGUAGCCUUUUCUUGUAAUUCUUUCUUUUUUGAGGUUCCUUUCAGAACAAUCUGUAUUUCGCUAGAGUCAUCUCUUUGUACUCUCACUCAUUUCAGUGCGAGCAGAUUCUCACCACAUUUAUGAAAGCUGGUUCCACCCCCCCCCCCCCCCCCCCUCUCUCUCUCUCUCUCUCACACACACACAAGAAAAAGUAGAACUAUUUAUUGAGCUUACCC
rnacentral:lncRNA from 1 species